GUUUAAUCAUGUUCCAUCUCUUAUUCCAAUGCCUAUAAUUUUAUCUUAUACGGGAAGAAAAAAACAUUAAUGAAGUGAUGAUGAACACCCUAAUAGUUAGCAAGCACUAUUUUAAUGGCAGUCAUUGUGUAUAAUAGAGGGUGUUGUUGGAAAGCUGCUGACUGUGAACAACAUUUAAUUAGAAAUGUAGCCCUGGAGCAGGAGGUGAACCUGUGCUCUUAAUUGCCUCUGUUGGUGGCUAUACCCUAGAGCACAUUAGGGCUGGGGGUUUCUGGGGCAGCUGGGGCAUGGUGAGAACCUGUGGGUGAGAGGCUCUGCUGCUUUGGGCCAAGCUAAUCCUCCAGCUGAAGCCUGUUGAGCCAAGGAACCCAGCCAGCCUCACUCGUUUGGUGUGAUCUCUGGCUGCUUGAAUGCUGUUCACCCAGUUACACUUCUCUGGUACUAUGAUCAGACACCAGGAGCAGCACACACACAUGAGUUCAGAAGUUCCUGCACAAGCAAGGUCAGAAUGAUGGACGCCUUUGAAAACAGGAUCAGUAAACAGCCUAUUGCUGACUGCAGACAUGAUGUUUAUGAUAUGAAAGAGGAGGAUGAACAGUGUCCAUAUGACAUAAAUCUACUGAGACACAAAUCUUCGUGUCAGAAAAACAAAGGAGCAUCACUGCUGUCAUCUUUCUUCCUACCUAAGCACAUGCAAUGGGGUUUUUGCUUAAAAAAAUAAAAAUUAAAAAAAAGGCUG
rnacentral:lncRNA from 1 species